rnacentral:rRNA from 1 species
GACGAACGCUGGCGGCGUGCUUAACACAUGCAGGUCGAACGGAAAGGCCCUGCCUUUGUGGGGUGCUCGAGUGGCGAACGGGUGAGUAACACGUGAGUAACCUGCCCUUGACUUUGGGAUAACUUCAGGAAACUGGGGCUAAUACCGGAUAGGAGCUCCUGCUGCAUGGUGGGGGUUGGAAAGUUUCGGCGGUUGGGGAUGGACUCGCGGCUUAUCAGCUUGUUGGUGGGGUAGUGGCUUACCAAGGCUUUGACGGGUAGCCGGCCUGAGAGGGUGACCGGCCACAUUGGGACUGAGAUACGGCCCAGACUCCUACGGGAGGCAGCAGUGGGGAAUAUUGCACAAUGGGCGGAAGCCUGAUGCAGCAACGCCGCGUGCGGGAUGACGGCCUUCGGGUUGUAAACCGCUUUCGCCUGUGACGAAGCGUGAGUGACGGUAAUGGGUAAAGAAGCACCGGCUAACUACGUG